GACGUAGGGGGCAAGCGUUGUUCGGAAUUACUGGGCGUAAAGGGCUCGUAGGCGGCCAACUAAGUCAGACGUGAAAUCCCUCGGCUUAACCGGGGAACUGCAUCUGAUACUGGAUGGCUUGAGAUUGGGAGAGGGAUGCGGAAUUCCAGGUGUAGCGGUGAAAUGCGUAGAUAUCUGGAGGAACACCGGUGGCGAAGGCGGCAUCCUGGACCAACACUGACGCUGAGGAGCGAAAGCCAGGGGAGCAAACGGG
rnacentral:rRNA from 1 species